rnacentral:sRNA from 1 species
UAGGCUUGAAGAUUGAUAACUAACCCUAA